rnacentral:rRNA from 1 species
UACAGAGGUCUCAAGCGUUGUUCGGAUUCAUUGGGCGUAAAGGGUGCGUAGGCGGCGUGGUAAGUCGGGUGUGAAAUCUCGGAGCUUAACUCCGAAACUGCACUCGAUACUGCCGUGCUUGAGGACUGGAGAGGAGACUGGAAUUUACGGUGUAGCGGUGAAAUGCGCAGAUAUCAGGAGGAACACCGGUGGCGAAGGCGGUUCUCUGGGCAUUACCUGACGCUGAGGAGCGAAAGUGUGGGGAGCGAACAGG